rnacentral:rRNA from 1 species
UACGAAGGGGGCUAGCGUUGCUCGGAAUCACUGGGCGUAAAGCGCACGUAGGCGGAUUGCUAAGUCAGGGGUGAAAUCCUGGAGCUCAACUCCAGAACUGCCUUUGAUACUGGCGACCUUGAGUCCGGGAGAGGUGAGUGGAACUGCGAGUGUAGAGGUGAAAUUCGUAGAUAUUCGCAAGAACACCAGUGGCGAAGGCGGCUCACUGGCCCGGUACUGACGCUGAGGUGCGAAAGCGUGGGGAGCAAACAGGGAUUAAGAUACCC